rnacentral:rRNA from 1 species
CCUACGGGUGGCAGCAGUGAGGAAUAUUGGUCAAUGGGCGGAAGCCUGAACCAGCCAAGUAGCGUGCAGGAUGACGGCCCUAUGGGUUGUAAACUGCUUUUAUACGGGAAUAACGCGCCUUACGUGUAGGGCUUUGCAUGUACCGUCUGAAUAAGGACCGGCUAAUUCCGUGCCAGCAGCCGCGGUAAUACGGAAGGUCCGGGCGUUAUCCGGAUUUAUUGGGGUUAAAGGGCGCGUAGGCCGCAUGUCAAGCGUGCCGUGAAAUGUCCGGGCUCAACCCGGGCCUUGCAGCGCGCACUGGCGAGCUUGAGUCCGCAGACAGCAGGCGGAAUGCGUGGUGGAGCGGUGAAAUGCUUAGAUAUGACGAAGAACCCCGAUUGCGAAGGCAGCUUGCUGCAGCAGAACUGACGCUGAUGCUCGAAAGCGCGGGUAUCGAACAGGAUUAGAUACCCGUGUAGUC